rnacentral:rRNA from 1 species
ACACAGGUGCUGCAUGGCUGUCGUCAGCUCGUGUCGUGAGAUGUUGGGUUAACGUCCCGUAACGAGCGCAACCCUUGUCCUUAGUUACCAGCACGGUUAUGGUGGGCACUCUAAGGAGACUGACCGGUGAACGAAACCGGGAGGAAGGUGGGGAUGACGUCAAGUCAUCAUCGGCCCUUACGGCCUGGGCUACACACGUGCUACAAUGGUCGGUACAAAGGGUUGCCAAGCCGCGAGGUGGAGCUAAUCCCAUAAAACCGAUCGUAGUCCGGAUCGCAGUCUGCAACUCGACUGCGUGAAGUCGGAAUCGCUAGUAAUCGUGAAUCAGAAUGUCACGGUGAAUACGUUCCCGGGCCUU